rnacentral:rRNA from 1 species
UACGUAGGGGGCUAGCGUUGUCCGGAAUCAUUGGGCGUAAAGAGCUCGUAGGCGGUGUGUCACGUCGUUCGUGAAAACCUGCAGCUUAACUGUGGGCUUGCGGUCGAUACGGGCAUCACUGGAGUUCGGCAGGGGAGACUGGAAUUCCUGGUGUAGCGGUGAAAUGCGCAGAUAUCAGGAGGAACACCGGUGGCGAAGGCGGGUCUCUGGGCCGAUACUGACGCUGAGGAGCGAAAGCGUGGGGAGCGAACAGG